rnacentral:misc_RNA from 1 species
UCUCCGUUGGUGAACCAGCGGAGGGAUCAUUACCGAGUUAUCAACUCCCAGACCCCUGUGAACAUACCCAACGUUGCUUCGGCGGGACCGCCCCGGCGCCCUCGGCGUCCCGGAACCAGGCGCCCGCCGGAGGACCCAAACUCUUGUUUAAACCAUAGUGGCAUAUUCUGAGUCUCACAAGAAAAAUGAAUCAAAACUUUCAACAACGGAUCUCUUGGCUCUGGCAUCGAUAAAGAACGCAGC